UACGUAGGGUGCGAGCGUUUGUCCGGAAUUAUUGGGCGUAAAGAGCUUGUAGGCGGUUUGUCGCGUCUGCCGUGAAAAUUCGAGGCUCAACCUCGAACUUGCGGUGGGUACGGGCAGACUAGAGUGUGGUAGGGGAGACUGGAAUUCCUGGUGUAGCGGUGGAAUGCGCAGAUAUCAGGAGGAACACCGGUGGCGAAGGCGGGUCUCUGGGCAGUAACUGACGCUGAGGAGCGAAAGCGUGGGGAGCGAACAGG
rnacentral:rRNA from 1 species